AGGACGAACGCUGGCGGCGCGCCUAACACAUGCAAGUCGAGCGAGAACCGGGGGCUUGCCCUCGGGGAAAGCGGCGAACGGGUGCGUAACACGUGAGCAACCUGCCCCAAAGACCGGGACAACCCGAGGAAACUCGGACUAAUGCCGGAUGCCCUCACCGGGUCGCAUGGUCUGGUGAGGAAAUGGAUUCCGCUUUGGGAUGGGCUCGCGGUCUAUCAGCUUGUUGGUGGGGUAACGGCCUACCAAGGCGACGACGGAUAGC
rnacentral:rRNA from 1 species